rnacentral:rRNA from 1 species
AUUGAACGCUGGCGGCAGGCCUAACACAUGCAAGUCGAACGAGUGGCGGACGGGUGAGUAAUGUCUGGGAAACUGCUCGAUGGAGGGGGAUAACUACUGGAAACGGUAGCUAAUACCGCAUACCAUCGGAUGUGCCCAGAUGGGAUUAGCUAGUAGGGGGGGUAACGGCGCACCUAGGCGACGAUCCCUAGCUGGUCUGAGAGGAUGACCAGCACACUGGGACCUGUGACACGUUCCAGACUCCUACGGGAGGCAGCAGUGGGGAAUAUUGGACAAUGGGCGCAAGCCGGAUGCAGCCAUGCGGCGUGUAUGAAGAAGGCCUUCGGGUUGUAAAGUACUUUCAGCGAGGAGGCGUUACUCGCAGAGGAAGCACCGGCUAACUCCGUGCCAGCAGCCGCGGUAAUAC